CCAUCGUUCAAACCCUCCCUCCCCGGCCUUUUCCCGGCUAGGGUUUCUGACCGUCCUUCCGUCUCCCGUCGCCAUGGAGAGUUCCUCCUGAUCUUUCGAUUCGAUCUGUUGACCCAUGAUUUAUUGUUUUCCCUUCUGAUUCGUGUCUUUGAUUGGUGAAACUCCGUGAAUAGCCCACAAGCGAUCGAAUUUUACCCCAGAGGUUUUCGGUCUUGAAGGAAGAAUGUUUGCCAGGAAUCGUUGUGCGGAGAAGGUGCUGAUGACGAAGAUACAUGUUAUUGUAUCCAGAAGCAUGUUGGAUUCAUAGGACAGUGUUAGUGUAAACAACUUUGUGUCGUGGCCUUGGGGCCGACGCGGCUUGUGUCGGGUUCGAAUGGCAGGGAUCUCGUCGUCACUGAAGUGGCGGGCGUCGCAGAUCAGACCGUGUCGAGCUUGAUCGGGGUGUUCCGUAGAGGAGGCCUCCUUUGCUUUGCCUCCCGAGGGCGCUAACCUCGUCUUCUCAUCUGCACACAAGUCGGGUCGAGGGGCUCAGCCCGACCCCUUCGACGAUCAAGGAGCGGGUUGCGUCUGACACUGGUGUUGGCGUGGCGUGAAUGAUCGAGUCUGAACAGAUCGUUAAUGGGUCUCAGUCUACGUUCUGUUUCGUUUGACCAGGUUCCAUCGGGUAGGUUGAGGUGUGAGACGUCGUCUGGGACAGCUGACGUCUGCGCAGGUCUUGUCACCAUUUAUUACCCUCAUCAGACAGUAAUGGCUUGCUGUCCAUGAUGAAUCAUCAAAUCUCCAUUAGGUGGUCGACAAGGUUCAUGAUGAAGCUACUCCUGCAUCUUUUAGAUUGGGAUACGACAACAUGGAAAAAGGUUUCUUAUCCUUUUAAAAUAUGCCCAAUUGAAAGGUCCCCUUACCAAUGUGCAAUCUGGAGAGUGAAUAACAGGCACAUUGCGACCAAAUGCAUUUAUGAAUUUAGAGGCAAAUGCUGGUGGUUGGCCUUGGACAUGCAAAGGAAAUUAUAAAGCUGGACAACAAUGAAUUACAAUAUGUUUGCUAAUCAGUCAUGCUGUUCACUGUUUAAUUAGUACCAAAAAUAGUUCUCCGAAUGA